rnacentral:rRNA from 1 species
AGACCCGAAACCCGGUGAUCUAGCCAUGGGCAGGUUGAAGGUUGGGUAACACUAACUGGAGGACCGAACCGACUAAUGUUGAAAAAUUAGCGGAUGACUUGUGGCUGGGGGUGAAAGGCCAAUCAAACCGGGAGAUAGCUGGUUCUCCCCGAAAGCUAUUUAGGUAGCGCCUCGUGAAUUCAUCUCCGGGGGUAGAGCACUGUUUCGGCAAGGGGGUCAUCCCGACUUACCAACCCGAUGCAAACUGCGAAUACCGGAGAAUGUUAUCACGGGAGACACACGGCGGGUGCUAACGUCCGUCGUGAAGAGGGAAACAACCCAGACCGCCAGCUAAGGUCCCAAAGUCAUGGUUAAGUGGGAAACGAUGUGGGAAGGCCCAGACAGCCAGGAUGUUGGCUUAGAAGCAGCCAUCAUUUAAAGAAAGCGUAAUAGCUCACUGGUCGAGUCGGCCUGCGCGGAAGAUGUAACGGGGCUAAACCAUGCACCGAAGCUGCGGCAGCGACACUGUGUGUUGUUGGGUAGGGGAGCGUUCUGUAAGCCUGUGAAGGUGUGCUGUGAGGCAUGCUGGAGGUAUCAGAAGUGCGAAUGCUGACAUAAGUAACGAUAAAGCGGGUGAAAAGCCCGCUCGCCGGAAGACCAAGGGUUCCUGUCCAACGUUAAUCGGGGCAGGGUGAGUCGACCCCUAAGGCGAGGCCGAAAGGCGUAGUCGAUGGGAAACAGGUUAAUAUUCCUGUACUUGGUGUUACUGCGAAGGGGGGACGGAGAAGGCUAUGUUGGCCGGGCGACGGUUGUCCCGGUUUAAGCGUGUAGGCUGGUUUUCCAGGCAAAUCCGGAAAAUCAAGGCUGAGGCGUGAUGACGAGGCACUACGGUGCUGAAGCAACAAAUGCCCUGCUUCCAGGAAAAGCCUCUAAGCAUCAGGUAACAUCAAAUCGUACCCCAAACCGACACAGGUGGUCAGGUAGAGAAUACCAAGGCGCUUGAGAGAACUCGGGUGAAGGAACUAGGCAAAAUGGUGCCGUAACUUCGGGAGAAGGCACGCUGAUAUGUAGGUGAAGUCCCUCGCGGAUGGAGCUGAAAUCAGUCGAAGAUACCAGCUGGCUGCAACUGUUUAUUAAAAACACAGCACUGUGCAAACACGAAAGUGGACGUAUACGGUGUGACGCCUGCCCGG